rnacentral:rRNA from 1 species
CCUACGGGCGGCUGCAGUGGGGAAUAUUGCACAAUGGGCGCAAGCCUGAUGCAGCCAUGCCGCGUGUGUGAAGAAGGCCUUCGGGUUGUAAAGCACUUUCAGCGGGGAGGAAGGCGUUAAGGUUAAUAACCUUGUCGAUUGACGUUACCCGCAGAAGAAGCACCGGCUAACUCCGUGCCAGCAGCCGCGGUAAUACGGAGGGUGCAAGCGUUAAUCGGAAUUACUGGGCGUAAAGCGCACGCAGGCGGUCUGUCAAGUCGGAUGUGAAAUCCCCGGGCUCAACCUGGGAACUGCAUUCGAAACUGGCAGGCUAGAGUCUUGUAGAGGGGGGUAGAAUUCCAGGUGUAGCGGUGAAAUGCGUAGAGAUCUGGAGGAAUACCGGUGGCGAAGGCGGCCCCCUGGACAAAGACUGACGCUCAGGUGCGGAAGCGUUGGGAGCAAACAGGAUUAGAUACCCUGGUAGUC